rnacentral:rRNA from 1 species
UCUCCUGGAACGGGUGGUAAUGCCGGAUGUUCCAGUUGAUCGCAUGGUCUUCUGGGAAGCUUUCGCGGUAUGGGAUGGGGUCGCGUCCUAUCAGCUUGACGGCGGGGUAACGGCUCACCGUGGCUUCGACGGGUAGCCGGCCUGAGAGGGCGACCGGCCACAUUGGGACUGAGAUACGGCCCAGACUCCUACGGGAGGCAGCAGUGGGGAAUAUUGCACAAUGGGCGCAAGCCUGAUGCAGCGACGCCGCGUGAGGGAUGGAGGCCUUCGGGUUGUAAACCUCUUUUAUCGGGGAGCAAGCGUGAGUGAGUUUACCCGUUGAAUAAGCACCGGCUAACUACGUGCCAGCAGCCGCGGUAAUACGUAGGGUGCAAGCGUUAUCCGGAAUUAUUGGGCGUAAAGGGCUUGUAGGCGGUUCGUCGCGUCCGGUGUGAAAGUCCAUCGCUUAACGGUGGAUCCGCGCCGGGUACGGGCGGGCUUGAGUGCGGUAGGGGAGACUGGAAUUCCCGGGUGUAACGGUGGAAUGUGUAGAUAUCGGGAAGAACACC